ACCACGUUGGGGGCGCAGCGUACGGCUCCGUAACACGUAGUUAAUCUGCCCUUGGGACGGGGAUAACCCUGGGAAACUGGGGCUAAUACCCGAUAGGCGCAGUGGCCUGGAACGGUACUGCACCGAAAGGGCUCCAAGAACAUGCUCUUGGCGCCGUCCAAGGAUGAGACUGCGGCCGAUCAGUUGUUGGUGGGGUAACGGCCUACCAAGCCUAUAACCGGUACGGGCCCUGAAAGGGGGAGCCCGGAAUGGGAACUGAACAAGGUCCCAGUCCUACGGGGCGCACAGCGCGAAAACUCCACAAUGCGCGAAUGCGUGAUGGGGUUAACCCGAGUGCCGUCCGAUGAGGAUGGCUUUUCCCCAGUGUAAGGAGCUGGGGGAAUAAAGGGGGGGCAAGACUGGUGUCAGCCGCCGCGGUAAUACCAGCCCCCUGAGUAGUAGGACGAUUAUUUGGCCUAAAGCGUCCGUAGCCGGCUUGGUAAGUCUUUCGUCAAAUCCGGCGAUUCCAUCGCCGGCCCGCGGAAGAUACUGCUAGGCUUGAGGACGGGAGAGGUCGACGGUAGUCCCGGGGUAGGGUGAAAUCCUAUAAUCCCGGGAGGACCACCAGUGGCGAAGGCGGUCGACUAGAACGUGCCUGACGGUGAUGGACGAAAGCUGGGGGAGCGAACCGGAUUAGACACCCGGGUAGUCCCAGCUGUAAACGAUGCGAGCUAGUGUUGGAGCAACUACGGGUUGCUCCAGUGCCGCAGAGAAGUUGUUAAGCUCGCCGCCUGGGAAGUACGGCCGCAAGGCUGAAACUUAAAGGAAUUGGCGGGGGAGCACCACAAGGGGUGAAGCCUGCGGUUCAAUUGGAGUCAACGCCGGGAAACUUACCGGGGCUGACAGCAGGGUGAAGGCCAGAUUAAGGGUCUUGCCAGACAAGCUGAGAGGAGGUGCAUGGCCGUCGCCAGUUCGUGCCGUGAGGUGUCCUGUUAAGUCAGGCAACGAACGAGACCCUCACCUCUAGUUGCCAGCGGAUUCCAUCGGAAUGCCGGGCACACUAGAGGGACUGCCGCCGAUAAGGCGGAGGAAGGAGAGGGUACGGCAGGUCAGUAUGCCCCGAAUGCCCCGGGCCACACGCGGGCUGCAAUGAUAGGGACAGAGGGCUCCGACCCCGAAAGGGGAAGGCAAUCCCUAAACCCUA
rnacentral:rRNA from 1 species